CGCGUAGGCGGAUCGCUAAGUCAGGGGUGAAAUCCCAGGGCUCAACCCUGGAACUGCCUUUGAUACUGACGGUCUGGAGAUCGGGAGAGGUUGGUGGAAUUCCGAGUGUAGAGGUGAAAUUCGUAGAUAUUCGGAGGAACACCAGAAGCGAAGGCGGCCAACUGGCCCGAUACUGACGCUGAGGCGCGAAAGCGUGGGGAGCAAACA
rnacentral:rRNA from 1 species